UACGUAGGGCGCAAGCGUUAUCCGGAAUUAUUGGGCGUAAAGAGCGCGUAGGCGGUCCGAUAAGUCGGCUGUGAAAGUCAGGGGCUCAACCCUUGAAAGCCGGCCGAUACUGUCGGACUAGAGUCCGGAAGAGGCGAGUGGAAUUCCCGGUGUAGCGGUGAAAUGCGCAGAUAUCGGGAGGAACACCAAUGGCAAAGGCAGCCCGCUGGGACGGUACUGACGCUGAGGCGCGAAAGCGUGGGGAGCAAACAGG
rnacentral:rRNA from 1 species